rnacentral:rRNA from 1 species
UUCUAAACUCCCAACCCUAUGUGAACUUACCUUUGUUGCUUCGGCGGCGGAGGCUACCCUAUAGGGGAUACCACGUAGUGGUUACCCUGUAGUCCCGGGUGCUGAUUCUUCCUCAACGUCUUAUCGUCAAAGGUCAGUUAACCUGGUGGCCCUCCCCGCCGGCGGCCAACUAAACUCUGUUUUUAUGGCAUUCUGAAUUAAAAACUUAAUAAGUUAAAACUUUCAACAACGGAUCUCUUGGUUCUGGCAUCGAUGAAGAACGCAGCGAAAUGCGAUAAGUAAUGUGAAUUGCAGAAUUCAGUGAAUCAUCGAAUCUUUGAACGCACAUUGCGCCCAUUAGCAUUCUAGUGGGCAUGCCUGUUCGAGCGUCAUUUCACCACUUAAGCCCUGUUGCUUAGCGUUGGGGGCCUACGGCACUGCCCGUAGCCCCCUAAAGUGAUUGGCGGAGUUGGUUCUCACUCUAGGCGUAGUAAAUCUAUCUCGCCUCUGUAGUGGUUCCGGCCCCUGCCGUAAAACCCCCUAUAUCAAAGGUUGACCUCGGAUCAGGUAGAACUCCCAACCCUAUGUGAACUUACCUUUGUUGCUUCGGCGGCGGAGGCUACCCUAUAGGGGAUACCACGUAGUGGUUACCCUGUAGUCCCGGGUGCUGAUUCUUCCUCAACGUCUUAUCGUCAAAGGUCAGUUAACCUGGUGGCCCUCCCCGCCGGCGGCCAACUAAACUCUGUUUUUAUGGCAUUCUGAAUUAAAAACUUAAUAAGUUAAAACUUUCAACAACGGAUCUCUUGGUUCUGGCAUCGAUGAAGAACGCAGCGAAAUGCGAUAAGUAAUGUGAAUUGCGGCAUGCCUGUUCGAGCGUCAUUUCACCACUUAAGCCCUGUUGCUUAGCGUUGGGGGCCUACGGCACUGCCCGUAGCCCCCUAAAGUGAUUGGCGGAGUUGGUUCUCACUCUAGGCGUAGUAAAUCUAUCUCGCCUCUGUAGUGGUUCCGGCCCCUGCCGUAAAACCCCCUAUAUCAAAGGUGACCUCGGAUCAGGUAGGAACCCCAUCA